rnacentral:rRNA from 1 species
UACGUAGGGUCCGAGCGUUAUUCGGAAUUAUUGGGCGUAAAGGGCGCGUAGGCGGCUUUGCAAGUGACGGGUGAAAUCCCUCGGCUUAACCGAGGAACUGCCUGUCAGACUACAUUGCUUGAGUCCGGGAGAGGUGAGUGGAAUUCCCAGUGUAGCGGUGAAAUGCGUAGAUAUUGGGAGGAACACCAGUGGCGAAGGCGGCUCACUGGACCGGAACUGACGCUGAGGCGCGAAAGCGUGGGGAGCAAACAGG